rnacentral:rRNA from 1 species
UACGGAGGGUGCGAGCGUUGUCCGGAAUCACUGGGCGUAAAGGGCGCGUAGGCGGCCUGAUAAGUAGGGGGUGAAAUCUUGCGGCUUAACCGCAAGGCUGCCUUCUAAACUGUCGGGCUAGAGCACAGUAGAGGCAGGUGGAAUUCCCGGUGUAGCGGUGGAAUGCGUAGAGAUCGGGAAGAACAUCAGUGGCGAAGGCGGCCUGCUGGGCUGUUGCUGACGCUGAGGCGCGACAGCGUGGGGAGCGAACAGG